GUAUAUUCUCAACAUAAAUUUUCAAAUCACAGAUGAGAAUAAAAAACACAACAGAGUCCACAAAGCUGUUUUAUAUUUGUGGAUAGCUACUAAAAAGCCUUAAUUUGCUUUUCAGGUAGAUGAAGAAUAGCAUACAAGUGAGAAAGCGCUAUUUAUAAAGAGAAUAAGGGGCUUGAAAAAUUCAUGCUUUUGUAAUUAAGUUCUAAAUGGUUGAUGAAACAACACUCUCAGUUCUCAAGCCAAAAGCAAAUUUAAGUUAGAAGCCACACAGGGACUGACUUCGUUUUGGCCUCUACCAUUUCUGCAUUGACUAUAGACAGGAAGAGAAAAUGGAGUUUUUGGUGAACCUGUGCUCAUGGAGAGAGACAUUGGACUGCUGCUGCAAAGAACUGGGGGCAGUGCUUGGAGUGACUGGGAGGAUGUACUGGUAGAGGCUUUAUGAAAGAAGACUUGCUAAGGAUGAUCCUGAUCAGGUAAAGUAUAGGCUGCAGAAGAUUCUCCCUCCUACCUGAGCUGAUAGCCUAGAG
rnacentral:lncRNA from 1 species